GAAAACCACUUUUCUUUAUUUUAGAAUCCAACUGUUGAGAAAUUGUCAAAAUCUGCUUCAUACAAAUAUAAAUUCUGUUAACCGAAGACAACUUGAAACAAUUGUUACAAGGUUUAAGAGAAUCACGUGCUCAACAGGAAGAAUGAAGUAUACAGUGAAAUUCCUGCAGAUAUUAUUAUCAGAACUGUUGUCACUUUAAAAUCCAAGAAUUAGCUCACAUUGUAGUAUGAGUCAAUGAUGGCAUCAGCAAGAUAUUCACAUUUAGCAGCCGAUAAUCCAGCCAAGGAUAUCCUCCCAUCUUUUGUCAUGUACACAUGCCACUUAUUGGCCAUGUUCUCGCUCUGAGCUCUGUCGAGACCUGUGAAGGAGAACAUUCCAAUCUGUUUCAGAAUGAAUGACCAGUUCUUUCCACUCUUAUCCUUGGCGGAGAGGCUAUCAUAUAGCUUCUGUCUCACACUCUUUAUCCUCCCUGCCAUCAUUUCCAUCUCUUCUUUCCAUUCACUGAAGAGCUCUGGAGUUCCAACGACGUUGGCAACAAUUUUAGCACCAUGAAUGGGAGGAUUGGAGUACAUUGGGCGAGCAAGCCUUUUUAGCUGGCUUUUCACCCUCGUUGCUGCAUCAGCAGAUGAGCAAAGAACAUUGAUAGCCCCAAUCCUUUCUCCAUAGAGACCCAGAUUUUUACUAUAUGAUUGAGCAACCAAAAGCUCCAUACCACGUGCAGCAAACAUUCUCACAGAUGAGGCAUCUUCGUCAAGGCUGCCACUUGCAAAUCCCUGGUAGGCAACAUCAAAAAAUGGAAUGUGG
rnacentral:misc_RNA from 1 species